rnacentral:rRNA from 1 species
UACAGAGGUCCCGAGCGUUGUUCGGAUUUAUUGGGCGUAAAGGGUGCGUAGGCGGCGGAGUAAGUUGGGUGUGAAAUCCCGGGGCUCAACUCCGGAACUGCCCUUGAAACUGCAAUGCUAGAAUCUUGGAGAGGCGAGUGGAAUUCCGAGUGUAGAGGUGAAAUUCGUAGAUAUUCGGAAGAACACCAGUGGCGAAGGCGACUCGCUGGACAAGUAUUGACGCUGAGGUGCGAAAGCGUGGGGAGCAAACAGG